ACCAAUGAUGUUUUUUAAACAAUCCAACUUGUCUGAGGUUGUUGUUAACCCAAGAUCCUGUUCGCAGGGUGAACCUACUUGGUGUUGCUACAUUUCCAAUGACAUAAAGAGAUUAAACUGAGGA
rnacentral:snoRNA from 1 species